CAGUCGCCGCGGUAAUACAGAGGGUGCGAGCGUUAAUCGGAUUUACUGGGCGUAAAGCGUGCGUAGGCGGCUUCUUAAGUCGGAUGUGAAAUCCCUGAGCUUAACUUAGGAAUUGCAUUCGAUACUGGGAAGCUAGAGUAUGGGAGAGGAUGGUAGAAUUCCAGGUGUAGCGGUGAAAUGCGUAGAGAUCUGGAGGAAUACCGAUGGCGAAGGCAGCCAUCUGGCCUAAUACUGACGCUGAGGUACGAAAACAUGGGGAGCAAACAGGAUUAGAUACCCGCGUAGUCCCUGUCUCUUAUAA
rnacentral:rRNA from 1 species